rfam:Alcanivorax borkumensis SK2, complete genome
CGGACCGGUUAGACAGUCGCUGGCGGUGGUUCUUUUAAAGAAUGGCCGCUGGAGGAAAGUCCGGGCUCCAAAGGGCAGGGUGCCAGGUAACGCCUGGGGGCCACACUGGGAACGGUGUGGUUACGGCUAGUGCCACAGAGAAGAUACCGCCUUUUCCUUCCUCGCGUUGGAAUCGGUAAGGGUGAAAAGGUGCGGUAAGAGCGCACCGCGCUGCUGGUAACAGUGGUGGCAGGGUAAACCCCACCCGGAGCAAAACCAAAUAGGGAUCCGUUGGCGUGGCCCGCGCUGGAUCCGGGUAGGUUGCUAGAGGUUUGUGGCGACGCAAACCCAAGAUGAAUGACUGUCCACGACAGAACCCGGCUUAUCGACCGGUCCACCUU